rnacentral:rRNA from 1 species
ACGAACGCUGGCGGCGUGCUUAACACAUGCAAGUCGAACGAUGAACCACUUCGGUGGGGAUUAGUGGCGAACGGGUGAGUAACACGUGGGUAAUCUGCCCUUCACUCUGGGACAAGCCCUGGAAACGGGGUCUAAUACCGGAUAUCACCAUCAUGGGCAUCUGUGGUGGUUGAAAGCUCCGGCGGUGAAGGAUGAGCCCGCGGCCUAUCAGCUUGUUGGUGAGGUAACGGCUCACCAAGGCGACGACGGGUAGCCGGCCUGAGAGGGCGACCGGCCACACUGGGACUGAGACACGGCCCAGACUCCUACGGGAGGCAGCAGUGGGGAAUAUUGCACAAUGGGCGAAAGCCUGAUGCAGCGACGCCGCGUGAGGGAUGACGGCCUUCGGGUUGUAAACCUCUUUCAGCAGGGAAGAAGCGAAAGUGACGGUACCUGCAGAAGAAGCGCCGGCUAACUACGUGCCAGCAGCCGCGGUAAUACGUAGGGCGCAAGCGUUGUCCGGAAUUAUUGGGCGUAAAGAGCUCGUAGGCGGCUUGUCACGUCGGGUGUGAAAGCCCGGGGCUUAACCCCGGGUCUGCAUUCGAUACGGGCUAGCUAGAGUGUGGUAGGGGAGAUCGGAAUUCCUGGUGUAGCGGUGAAAUGCGCAGAUAUCAGGAGGAACACCGGUGGCGAAGGCGGAUCUCUGGGCCAUUACUGACGCUGAGGAGCGAAAGCGUGGGGAGCGAACAGGAUUAGAUACCCUGGUAGUCCACGCCGUAAACGGUGGGAACUAGGUGUUGGCGACAUUCCACGUCGUCGGUGCCGCAGCUAA